GUGGGUUCAGAAUAUCUUCUCACAUUCUACGGUUGCCUUUUGAUUUCCUUUAUUAUCUUCCAGAGAUGGAGCCCACCUUCUCAUCCUCCUCUCUCGCCUUUUCCUGAUCUGGAAAGUUCAGGCUGGGUUUGGCAUCGGCUGUGGGAGCUUCUGGUGCCUGUGUCAGGCAGAGCAGGGGCCUCCUGGAUGGCCACGUGCUGACCUGCCCCGUCCCUGCACCGGGAACUGCAGCUGAUGAUCGCUGGCUCCUGGGACUGAACCCACAGGGGCCCAGUGUGACUGCAAGGUCUUCACGACUCAAAGCGGGAGGAGGAAGAGAAUCGGGCAAGGGGUGCUUGCAAGGCCUUUGCCACCGAGAGCAGGAUUGGAGGAGGAAGCCGUGACAGAGUCCGCACUUCUUGUUUCCUGGGCUCCUGGAUGGCAGCAUGUGGCCAGGCUCUUCAGAUGCUGCACAAGAGACCUGCGAGCCGUGUGGCCCCUCUCCUGCGGAUGUGGCGGCAGGAGCUGCUCCCCCACUGCUGGGCACCUUCGGAGCGAAUGGCCACCCCUCCCAG